ensembl:lncRNA
AUGGGAGGAAGCCGAUUGGGCCCGGCCCUUUCUCCCCCUCCCCUCACUCCCCUAGCCACGCCCAUGUUUGUCCACGUGGUCUCAGAGGCAAGCCUGACUUUAAACCUUUGCGUGCGCUCAGACUCACAGUCCGCCUUACGAGUAAAGCCCCAAGAUCCUCUUCUGUCCUUGCUCAGCAUCAAUUUUUGUGGACGCUUCCUGUGGUUUUUCUUAGUCUUACGGACCAGGGUCCGGCGGUGGAAGCAGCGCGCAUGGGUGCAUUCUGUCCCCCCGAGGGCAGCCUCCGAGGGCAAGCCAGCGUUCUGCCUCGGGAGAGAAGACGGGAGACCGUGGCCCCGGUCCGGCCUGCAGCCAGAGGCGAUGAUGGCCCGUGAGGCCCCGAGACCCCCAUCCCAGGAGUCAGUGACGUUCAGGGACGUGGCUGUGAGCUUCACCCUGGAGGAGUGGGGCCUGUUGGAGCCUUCUCAGAGAGAGCUGUACCGGGAGGUCAUGCUGGAGAACGCCCAGAACGUGCUCUGCGCGGGUAAGCUUCUCUGGGCAUUCGCCCGCCUCUGGGGAGAGAUGAGAUUGGAGAGGCCAGAUGCAGUGCCUUCCCAGGAUCCUCUGGGCGGGCCUAGGAAGGCCCGAAGCUGCACUUGGCUUUGUGGUGCCUGUGGUGGGAGGUGACAGGAACCCCAGCCAGGGCACUCCCCUCCUUUGGAUGGGGCAUGAAUUGGGAAGGUCUGAGUUAUUGUCCCUUGCCUGAGCCCUCACCCCUGAAUAGCCUCACCCCUUCUUUAUUCCUUCUUUACACACUGUUUGUGGUGGCUCUCCCGAAAGCCUGGGGAAAGGGGGGAGGCCAUUUAAGAUGAAAGGUCAGUCCUAGAUUUUCUAGGUUGAUUCAAACCAUAAAGAAUGUAUGAAGAUCCUGUAGUUAGCCCAGGAAUGCAAAGAAAGACAAGGGAGAAGCCCUCCUCUCAAGGAGUUCCCUGUCUAGAGGGCAAGACAACACCCACACAGCUAUGUAGAAACCCACCAAAUCUAGGAUUCAUUGGAGCUCAUCUAGAGAGGGAAGAGCCCAAGGUUAAGGAAGCCUAGUCAAGACUUAGGGUGGAAUCAAGUGUUUUUUGGGGGGGGAUCUGAGGGAAGUCAGGGGAGCAUUGUUUAUCUGAGGAGCAGCCAGAGAAAACCUAGGGAGUCAGGGGAUGAAGUAUCCUGGUCAAGGAACAAAAGGAGGCCUGUACCACUGACUAUUGCAUUUGUGGAAAGGAGAGACGUGAGGGAUGACAGGGAAGGGAAGAGGGGGAGAGGAUGAAAGGCUUUGACAGCCAGCCAGAGGGUUUUCUAUUUGAUCCUGGAGAGAGGGUACAAAGGGAGUUUCUUGAGGAAGGAGUGACAUGAUCAGAAAUGCCUUUUAGGAAGGAGGAAUGUGAGUAUCUGCUGUAAGAUGGUUUGGACUAGAGAGAGACUUGAGGCCGUGAGACCAGGAAGUAGGCUUUUGGCAUACCUCAGGCCUGAUUUCAGAAAGUGGCAAUGUUGGGAGAGAAGGGGGGGGGGGGUAGGAGAAAGAUGGCACCCAGGAAAAAUCAAUAGGACUUUCCAUUAUGUUGAAUAGGAGUGGAUGUGAGUUUUCAAGGGAGGAUGAAGAGUGCAUGAUUGGGUGAGGAGUGCUCUGGAGAUCACUAAGAAAGUAAGAAGAUGGGAGGAUUGGAGGAAUGGUAAUGAGUUUAGUUUGGGGCAUACAUGGAGGGGCACCAGGAGAAAGUAUUGUCACCAAAUUGUAGAGAGUGAAAGGAUGAUUGUGUCAAAGGCUGCAGAGACAUCUAGAAGUACAAGGAUUGAGAAAAAGAAAUUAUUGUAUUUAACAGGACAGUAUUGCUAACUUUGCAGAGAGCAGUUUAUACUUUAAAAAAACUUUUUUUCAUUUACAUAUAGAAAUAAUAUUUGACAGGUUUUUUUUUUGACAUUUUAGAAUUCAAGUUUUCUCUCUCCCUACUCUCACCGAGGUGAUAGUUUAAUAUAGAUAUUAUAUCUUGUUAAAUUUAAUUGUGGUUGGACUCUGAAUAUUUAUAUAGGUGGUUGCCAGGGAUCUCAUUUCUAAAUCUUAAAAUAAAAUACUAAAGUAAAUGGAAUUUAUGGUAGUU